rnacentral:rRNA from 1 species
AACGAACGCUGGCGGCAUGCCUAACACAUGCAAGUCGAACGAAGUCUUCGGACUUAGUGGCGCACGGGUGCGUAACGCGUGGGAAUCUGCCCUUGGGUACGGAAUAACUCAGAGAAAUUUGUGCUAAUACCGUAUAAUGUCUUCGGACCAAAGAUUUAUCGCCCAAGGAUGAGCCCGCGUAAGAUUAGCUAGUUGGUGGGGUAAAAGCCUACCAAGGCGACGAUCUUUAGCUGGUCUGAGAGGAUGGUCAGCCACACUGGGACUGAGACACGGCCCAGACUCCUACGGGAGGCAGCAGUGGGGAAUAUUGGACAAUGGGCGAAAGCCUGAUCCAGCAAUGCCGCGUGAGUGAUGAAGGCCUUAGGGUUGUAAAGCUCUUUUACCAGGGAUGAUAAUGACAGUACCUGGAGAAUAAGCUCCGGCUAACUCGUGCCAGCCGCCGCAGUAACAC